AUGGAGGAACUUCCACAUAAUCUCUUUGUCACUUUGUCAGUAACAUUAUGGGCACUAUGGUCAGCAAGGAGGAAAGCAAUUCAUGAGGGAGUUUUCCAAAGCCCUCAAUCAAUCCAUGCUUUGUUCGCCAGAUUUAUAAGUGAGCUCGAGAUGAUCAAGGAAAAGGCACCACAGCCGAGACAGCCAAAUGGAGUAGUUGGGGCCCGUACGCUACGACCCAAAGCGCCUCCAGCAGGUUUUGCAAAGGUACACGUCGAUGCAGGAGUGCGGAGAGGAAGAGGUGGUGCUGCCGUGACAGUUUGCCGAGACGAUCGCGGUACCUACCUGGGCAGCUCCUCACUGGUUGUGAGCAGAGUAGAUGAUCCAGCCGCCCUUGAAGCCAUUGCAUGCAGAGAAGCCCUUGCAUUGGCGCAGGAUCUAAAUCUACACCAAGUGGUCAUUGCUUCGGAUGCUAAGCAGGUGGUGAAUGAUAUCAAUACUUCAUCAAAAGGAGUGUAUGGAGCAAUCAUUUCUGAGAUCAAGGCCUAUUCUAGUUUAUUUCAGUGUAAUUUUACUUUUAAGAGUCGUAAAGUGAACCUAGAAGCUCAUAAGUUAGCCAAGCAUUCUCUUUCGUUAGGGCUGGGACGCCAUGUCUGGUAUGGCUAAUCCCAUAACCCAAAUUGUAUCCCACACUAUGUGGCUUAUGAAUGA
rnacentral:rRNA from 1 species